UCCUCCUUCCUAUGCUUGAGAAGUUUCACCAAAUCAACAAACCUUUGAGAAGCAUAAUAAGAAUCAAACAAAAGCACAGUAAGAGCUAGGCAAAGGGAGCUAGAGAACGUAGAAUUGCUCAAGAAAAGACUGAAGUUUUUUUCUAAAAUGCUACCACAGGAAAUCUUUAGGUUGAAUUAUGGCAAUACCAUGCAGAGGCUUCUUUUAAAAAUAAAAAACAAAACAGUUACACAUCUGGAAGAAUAUGCUUGAAGAACUGCUUUUCAACCUUUGUGUUGUGCUCCCCAAAGGCAUAGCCAGUAGUUGCCUGGUGGGUUGCAAACUUGUUCCCAUUCUCCCAGUCCCUGGUCUUCUACUGAAACAGAUUUGUUCAGCCACUUUGCAACUAUUACUAUUCAGAUGCCAAAGGCAACUCAUAAAGUAUUGCAACUAUUCCUGUGGCGCCGCUUUGGAAGCACUAUGGGAACGGGCGCAAAGGAUUCUGGGGUGCAUUUGAGCAAGAUGGGAUGUGAGUUGGGUCACAGCACUAAUAAGUGGCGCUUAGGAAACUCGACACCGACCUAUGAGCUCGCCUCCUAAGGUACACACAAAGAAUGCUCUUAUUUGCCGAUCUUUCUGUGGAAGCAGAGCUCCUCUUCUGUGCACUUUAGGACACACCCAGAAAUUGCAUUCCUGUCCUGCACACAGGAGCAUGUCUGCAGGUAAGUUUUCAAUCUUCAGACUCCCUUCUUUUUUUAAAGGACGAAAACAAGGAACAAUUUGCAGUAGGGCAUAGUCUGAGAAUCUAGAAAGGUUAAACUUAAAAAUAACAUCCUGCAACUGCCCCCUGCACCCCCCAAAAAGAAACACACACAUUCGUUCUCUCCAAUCUGGGAUUUCAGCAUUAUGAAUUUUUUUUUAAAGAUUCUUUUCCAAACAAAACACAAAACUGAAAAGCCCCAUGUAGGUGGCUAAUUCCCAUAUGUGGUUUAAACCCUAAAACACACACAAAAGACCCCCAAGCCAACCAAACAAACAAAAAACAGAAGUAUCUACAAGUACCUCUCAAGCCCUCUGUCCUAACUUCUAAACAACCAUCUCAUGGUUCUGACCGUUAACAUGGUUCAUUUCUACACUUUACUAGACUUAGUUGCAUCUAAUUACUGCCUGUAUGGCUGUGCCUCUGAGUCAAUGCUGAAAAUCUUUGUUGUGCUUUAACUAAAAACAACCAUUGUCUGUCUUGACAAAACCUUUCCACGGAUCACCAGUAAGAUAUGGGGACCCCCAUCCAUGAUCACUGUAAAUCCUCAUUCCAUCACACCAUUAAAAUUAAGCUAGCAUAGGAAACUUUAUACACAUCAAGUUUUCUAUGGCUCCAAGCUCCUAGGAGUUCAACCAGAAAACGUUGUGCAAAACUGUCUAUUACACCAGGUUCUCUCCUGCUGUGCAUCUUCUCAGGUGUGCAGGAGGAGCAUAAGAGAAGCAGCUCAUCAUUGUAGUAUGGAUGAGUGAGUCAUUUUUGAGACUGGACUGGUAAACAGUACCUUCACAAGGCUGUAAUAAAUUCAUUCUGACACACUAAUGAGACUUUUUACUUGAAAUAUAACCUUGGAUUUAAGCCAGCUACUUAUCUGUAGAAAAAAAUAUUAAUAUUUAUAGUGUUCAGGUAUGCAACAACAAUUGAUAGGAAAUGCAAUUAAACUGGAUACCCACACAACUCAACUGUGUUUAACCUUUUGUUUUCAAUCACCUUAGAAGUGCAAGGGACUAAUGUAUUUGCAUAGCCUGAAAUUUGUGUACAAUUUUCUUUAAGGAGAGAGGAAUAUAUAUUUCAAAAAAUAAAGAUGUUUUAUUCUGUAAAGAUUUGGGGUUCUUUUAAGCGUUCAAGUACUAAAUACUUUAGGAGCCUUUAAGAUUCCCGAGAUCUUAAUUUUUUUAGAAAGUGACACGGUUAUUGUUCAGUAGCCAGCCAGCUGACUCCGAGCUGCCUUUCCAUUCCUGGUUCUGUGUGAAGGUAGAAAAAACUAGAAAAAACAAGGUGAGUGAUUGUUUCCUCCACUUCAAUACCUCUUUUCAGGGUAGAUAAAAAUGGAUGAUUUUUAAAAGUUCUUUUUAAAAAGCUAGAUUUUUUUAUUUCAAUCAGAUUUCUUUGAUUUUGCUAAGUUUUUCUUUUGAAAAAUCAACCUACUUAAAAUGAAAUAUGAAUUUAAUACAAAAUAGUUUAAAGCCUAAAUUUAUUAUAAUCUCUUAAAACAUUUAAAUAGAAAGUAAAUACAGUGAUUCCAUGAGUCUCUUUCAAAAACUUUGAAUUAAUGGCUGCUCUUCUAUAUAACCAUGAGUAAAAAGUUACUUAUCUAGUAAAUAAGCAAUAUAAAAUUCAUAAUUUUCGAACAUACUAAAAAUGUAAAAUUAAUAAGAAUCUGAAAAUAUUAAAGCUAUAUAAUUGCUUAAAUAAAUGUAUAUAAUUAUGAUGUAGCCUCCUAGGUAGCAAAAUGAUGUAUCAAAUUGAGCAUAAAGGCUCUAUUUAGUUGUAAAUCAACAUAAUUUAAUGGUUAUAUCAAACAAUGAGAAUGCAUCUUUCUUUAGAAAAUAACUGAAGUAGAAAUGGAAAAGUUGAUUAAAAUCAAUUAUUUAAAUCGAGCUUUCCACUUGGCAAUUUAAAUCACCUUGAUUUAAAUCAAUCCACCCUGUCUGUUUUGAUGAAAAUAGGAACUAGAUAGCAACAGGUGAGAAUCCAGCCACUUGCCAUUUUUAGCAGCUGGAUGCUUUCACAGAUUUUUUUGGAACUGGGUGCCUGGCUGUAAAAUAUAUGCUUUUAAAAAAUUUUUACUUUAUUUUGUUUUACCAACCUAGCCAACACUUCUGCAGAAAUAGAAAUGGAAAGCAGCCAACAGCAGACAAAAAGGAUAAGGCUACUCACCAAUACUGCAGUUCCCCAACAAUGGGGAUUCUUCACAUUGAGACCUGUGAGAUAUCCCUACAGGUUCUGCUGAGCUUCAGGAACCUUCUAGAAAAGCAGUGCCUGGUCGGACUGAAAAGAGUUCUCUUGAACCUCAGUGUAGUCCCCAGACAUUUCAAGUAAAGCAGAGGGUGAAAGGAGGUGCAUGAGGAUAGGAGCAGUAAGGUGGAAAGGAUACAGAAAUAGAAGCAAUCUUGUGGGAAUCAUUUUCACAUAUUUCGCCAUUUUGGCUAAUGUCCAAAUUUAUUUGGUUAUUGGGGAUGCUAUAAACAUUCAGAAUCUUAUAUUGCAGAUUUUAUAGAAUUUGGGUCUGGACACUGCACCAGUCAUCUUGAAUUUUCAAGAUACAAAGUUUUGGAAAACUAUUUCCUUUUAGGAUGAAUGAUUACUAGUUUAUGAAUCAUGUAGAGAGCUAUAAAAGAGUAACUGCACAUUUAAAAAAAAUAAAUGUAUGUAUAUGUGUCGGCAGAAUUCCAAAUUAGAAAUUAAAAAAACAUAUUAUUGUGAGACAAGAAAACCCAUCAAAUAAAAUAUUUUCUGUCUAAUAAAAUAUUAUAUAAUUCUACAAAUUUUUUACCUUCCCUUUCUUGUUGCAGACACAGAUUCAGUUCUUGUAUUGUAGCCUUAUCCAUAGAUCUACAUACUUUCAUCUGAUCUAAUUCUUCUUCAAGAUUCAGCCUACAAAAUAGCAUAGGAAAAUAAGAAGGAACAGAAAAACAGCCAAACACAUCCUAAUAAAAAUAUGAAACAAAAUUAAAUGAAAAACAUAUCAAAAUAAAUAUUACUGGCAAGGCAACAUAUAUGAUUUAAAUACAGAUGCUAUUGUUUUAGAAUGUAGAUACUUUCAUACCUGUUACUGUAAGUAAAAACUGAUAUAACACAAUAGCCAGUAAAUUCACAAAACUCAGAUAUAGAUUUUGUAAUUAUAUGUACAUUAGUGGUUUCAGCUCCUCCCCGAUAAGUACAUGCAUUCAUAUGGGGACCACAUUUUCAUUUAUGCUGAAACCCCCUUAUGACACUUUGACAAAGUAAAGGGGCUUUAGCAUUAAUGAAAAUUUGGCCCAUCUAUGUAUAUAGGCCCAUGUAUGCACACAUACAGGGUAUGAAGAGGAGGUGCAGAAUACUAGGAGGUUUUUAAAGGGGAUUGCAGCAGAUGGGCGUGGCAUGAAAGAUAGUUUCAGGGACUGGCAAAAUAGAAGUAAAUGAAUAAGAGAGGACUGAAGGGGAUAAAGAAAGAAAUUUAUCGUGCUUGAUAAAUUUUAAAGUCCCUAUCUAGCAUAGCUUUUAGGCACCUGUGCAGUCUCAUUGAAACUAAUGAGAUUACUCAUGUGCUUAAAGUUAAGUACAUGCCUAGAUGCUUUCAUCAGGGCCUACAUGCUUAAUUAGUGAAAGACGGGAAUGAAGCAGAGGUAAAACUGUAUUUCUAUAUAAUGUAAAAAGCAUUCAGAAGAUGUAUUCAAGGAUCACUCCCACACUGGCAAGGGAAUGGUUUAAAUUAAAUAAUAGGCCUUUUCCAGUUCUAGUGCCCAUGAUUAUAUUGUUCAUACACUUAGGGCCACGAGUGUAGGGAGGCACAAAUCAUAUCUCCAUUCAGUUGGCAUAGAACAGAUUUCCAAAUGUUUAAAUUAUCUGAAAAUACAGACUGUUGUCAUAAUCAUUUCUGCUUAGCUUUAGCUCCUGGAAAAGACUGAAUAAAUACAAUAUUCCCCUAUGAAUGUCACAUUUUCAAACUUUUCUAUUUGCUUAGUGAUCGAUUUUAUGGCAAAUGGUAAAAAUAAUAGAAAAAAACUACUGAUGGAUAGUCUUUACAUCCCUGGUAUACAAUACACUCAGUAUUGAAUAUCAGAAAAUGAGAAUGACAUGGAAGCAAAUACAGUUAAUGCUGUAUCUUUUUAUCAUGACUGUUUGCAGACAAAUUCCUUUCCACCAUCAUUUAUGAGGCCUUUAGCUAUACAGAGUAGACAGGAAUCAUUGCCAUGGGAAGAACAAGACUUAAAAUGAAGCAGCUCCCCUGGCCUCUAUGCCAGUUGUUCCAAAACUUAGUAGUAGAAAAUUGUUGCAAAGUUUAAAAUAUUUCCUGACCCAAAGUCUUUGUAAGAGGUCUAAACAAAUGCUUUUUAACAUGCUUGCAAAUGUAAUAUGUAAGCACAACUAUAUCCUCCUCUCCUCCUCCUCCCUCUAAAAAAUGCUAAUAAGUAGAGCUCUAAAGAAAUGUUCAUAUAUUAUUUUCUCAAUGCAGGAUCUUCUGUCAAACUACCCCCCAUUGGUCCCCUUUUCAAGGCUCCAUGUCAUAGCAACCAUACUCCAGUGAAGUCUGGAUAGCAGUCUCUUCAAAGCCCAUCCACAUUGAUUCUAGAUUGACCAAAGUGAUUCUAGUGACAUGAGGCACUUCCCCUCCCCUCUGCAAUCUUUUCACUCCAGAAUCAAAAAUAAGCUGUGGGAUAAUUCAGAACACUAAUCUACUGUAACCACAGAGAAAAGAAGGCAGCCUCAAAGCUCAGAUAUUGUGAAUAAGAGAUCCCAAUGUUAUUUUGGAAGAGAAGCUAAUACAUGCUGUGGCUAUCAUAGACAACUAUAAACAUAGAAAUAUUGGAUUGUUUGAUAUAUUUUCAAUUAAGAAAUCAAACCCUGGAAUAGAGAACCAAAUUGGGUUUUGAUACUAUCUCAAAGGCAGUUUUGUGUGUGUGGAAAUCUUCUGUUUCACUGAACAAGUGGUGAGCAAAUAGCAGGGUGUUUGUAGACUCUCAAAAGAUCCACAACACUAACGGAAGCAGAGAGGUUGCCCCUUUACAGUGGGAAGGAAGUCUCUCUGAAGAAUUUUUCUGCACGAAUGCCACCUGAUUCUGGUUUGAAAUGUGGAAGAAGGGCUCUUAACAUCAGCAUAUGCCUCCUCCAGCUUCUAGCCACCAGUAAAAAAAUUAUCAAAGCUGAACAUAUUCCAAAAGAACUGUUGGUUUUGAAUAUUACACAAAUUUUAGGCCCAUUCUUAUUGUGGCAAUAAAAUCAUGGGUUCCACAACUUUAGGAUCUUUCCACAAAUUUCGCUAUAUUUCUGCAAUAUUCCACAAAUUCUAAGCUUUAAUUAAAUAAAAACUAAAAGAAAACAAAAGACCAACCCAAUAAAUUUCUAACUUUUCUCCUUUGAUGACAAUACCAAUCCUCCUUCUGUCACACCAGACUGUGAACAACUGAAGGAAAAAGAGAUGCCAUUUUUACACUGUUGAUCAUCAGAAUCCCCUCACCUGUCAGUCGAUGGGAAGAACUGCAGCUCAAGUUACAUCCUUGUAUGGCAUCACUAUAUAAGCCAUCCUAUCAUAUUGCAUAUUCAGAAACAUGAAAACCUGAUAGCAUUAAUAUUCAAAAGGGCAAAAGAAAAAUUACUUUAAAAAUCUUUGAGAUAGUCUAUUUUAUACUUCAUAAAAUAGUAGUAGUAAAAGGGAAUUUGUUUCUUGACUUUUUGGUUCAGCUUUGAGCUUCUCAUGACAGUGUUAACUUGGCCAUAUUGCACAUAUGUACUAUUUUCCAGUCUUCUUUUCUAUGUUUCUGUGUCAAUUGUUAAAUAUAUGCCAUGCCAGAAAAUACACAGGAUCCUCAAUACGGCAGAGUUAACAUUGCUCUAGGAACCCUAACUUCUCCCAGUUCCUACCUUUUUUAUUUAAAUUGCACAGCUUUAACACAUAGCGUUUAAUAUUCUUAUUCUUAUUUAUUAUUUUAUCUUGUGGUGGCACCUAAAGGUUUUUAACUAUAUCUGGCUGAAGCGGAAUUUGAAGGAAGAGAAGGCAACAACCUUAGAGAUGAAAUUGGAGAUACUAUUACAUGUAAAGGAAGGAGCAUAAAAGAAUGCACAAAUGUGGCUGCUAAGAGGAGCAGAGAAGCAAUGCAAGGACAUGAAAAGCUGUGCAAAAUGGAUGGUGGGGGAUGAGCUGGUAAAAGAAAAGAGCAGAUAAAUAGGGAGGGAAGAGCUGUGAGAAGUCUUGCAGGAGAGCACAUGAAGUUUGAACUUGAUACAGCAGAAAAGGGGGAGCCAGUGGAGGGCUUCAAAGCGUGGAGUGCCGCAGAAGAUCAAGCAAGGAAGAUGAUUGGGUUUUAAAUACAUUACUAGACGUGGCAAAGCAGUUAUCGGGGAGGCUGGAGAGGUUUCUGUGAUCCAGAUGAGAAAUGUGGACCUGGAAAAGGGUUUUCACUGUGUGGUUAAAAAGAGCUUGGAUCUUAGAAAAGUUAUGGAGGAAGAAAUGGCUAGAUUGGACAUAGCUGGGAUGUGCAGCUAUGUCCAAGGGGAACGCGAAAGGAAGGAGUCAAAGAUGACUCCCAGGUUAUGGGCCUGGGGUAAAUUCAUACAUCUGUAGCUACUGUUCUCUUAAAACAGUUAAGGUUGCUGUUACAUUUUAAAGUCACUGUUAUAUUUGUGUUAUGUAGUGUAUAACAUUACUCAACAUGAUUUUAAAAAGUUAAACCUCCAGGACAAAGACUAUUACAAGACAUAAAAAUUGUACGGGUUCUGUGCUAAUGAAUAUUAAAUACUGUGAACUAUUUUAACAAAUUAUAAAGUACUGUAGAUUGACAUACUGAGUAAAUGAGAUCUGUAAGGGCAUUCAAGUUUCAAAAAUCUGCAGAUAUAAUCCUAACCACUCAAAACUGACUGAAAUAAACAGGCAAAGGAGAACUGAAUAUAAAUUAUCAUUUGAAUUUUUUAAAAAAAUUAAUACAAAAUUGCAUAGUAUAGUCUCUGAGGGUAUGCAUAAAAUAUCUUGUCUCUCUAUCCAUGAUAGACCCUAGGCAAAGGAGAUUCAUUACUAGCAAUACCCAUUAGUAACCUAGAUGAAAAGAAAAUAAGUAACCAUUCUGCUAAACUUCGUUAAAUUUCAUUAAAUUCAAAGUCCACAAUCAUAUCUCUAAUGAUAAUACUCAGCAGGUGAACCAUUUUAAAAGCUGUGAUAUGCUGGAGCUAAUUAAUAAUUGCUCAGACUAUAACUACUGUGACAAAGUUCCUGCUCUACCUCGCUGGGUCUUGCGCUUAUUGGCGGAUUUGCUCGCCUUGGAGCUUCACAGCAGCCCUCAGGUUGGCCGUUUUUCUGAACCCACAGUCCAGGUCAACUCCUCCUGUGUCUGACCAGGAGUUGGGAGGUUUGGGGGGAACCUGGGCCCGCCCUCUACUCCGGGUUCCAGCCCAGGGCCCUGUGGAAUGCAGCUGUCUAGAGUGCCUCCUGGAACAGCUGUGCGACAGCUAAAACUCCCUGGGCUACUUCCCCAUGGCCUCCUCCCAACACCUUCUUUAUCCUCACCAUAGGACCUUCCUCCUGGUGUCUGAUAAUGCUUGUACACCUCAGUCCUCCAACAGUCCGCUUUCUCAUUCUCAGCUCCUAGUGCCUCUUUCUCCCAGCUCCUCACACGCAAACCACAAACUAAAGUGAGCUCCUUUUUAAAACCCAGGUGCCCUGAUUAGCCUGCCUUAAUUGAUUCUAGCAGCUUCUUGAUUGGCUGCAGGUGUUCUAAUCAGCUUGUCUUAAUUGUCUCCAGAAGGUUCCUGAUUGUUCUGGAACCUUCCCUGUUACCUUACCCAGGGAAAAGGGAUCUACUUAGCCUGGGGCUAAUAUAUCUGUCUUCUAUUACUCUCCUGUAGCCAUCUGGCCCGACCCUGUCACACUACAUGUGAUCUUCACAUGGACAAGGUUCUAUCAGGUUUUGUUUACCUGAAUAUAAUAUAAACGGGUUUUGAAAUGUGCCAAAAUUUUAGUUUCUGCUGUGAUCACAGAUCUAUUUACUAGUUAUUUUAAUUUCCUUUUACCUUUUAACAGUUUUACUAUGCUAAAACAUUAUUUGGAAAGGAAAUAUGCUAUUAAUUAUGUUCUACCCAAGAUGGAUGCCUCACUCAGGUUCAGAAAUAUUGAAAAAUACCCUCAAGUAUUUAACAUGAACACAUCAGAACAGAACAGAAUUUAGUUUUAUAAAGCAAUUUCAUAUGCGAAGUAUCUCUCAAAGCACUUUUUAAAGCAAUUAGUAUUGUCAUGAUUGUAUGCACACAACCUUGGUGAGAAGGAUACUGCUAAGCACAACCAUGCAUGGUACUAGAAACUACCAUGGGGCCCAAUCCAACUGCCACCAAAAUCAAUUGAAAGAUUCCCACUAAAGUCAAUGGGAGUUAGACUGGGCCCUUCAAGAUGCCUGGAUGGUAUAAUAAUUUUUUAAAAAUAACGUUCAGUUGAUUCUGUAAAGUAAAGCUGACAGUUACAUUUACAUAGAUCCAGUAGUGAUAGGCAAAUCGCAUACAUACAUUUGUCCAACAGCUUGCAUAUCAAGCCUAUUAGGUGAAUUAAAUAUUUCCAUGAAUCAGAGAAUAUAAUGUAUGACUAGCUGAUUUUCAUAGCAAAAUAAGAUUAGAAAAAGAUUUCCAACUGCCACAGGGGCCUUCCAACCAGUGUCUGGUUUCAAGACUCUCACUCAGCUUCUUUAGCAGGUAUUUUACAGUUAAUUCUAAUAAAGACUUCCCUCAAUGCCAGUCCCUCCACCCCCCACAAAUUUAGUGUUAUUUCUACUCUUCUCCGAAAAAGGGAAGGAAGGAAUUGCCUUCCUCAGUACCAAAAAGCAAAAUCACCUCUCUUUAAGUGUUGUCAAAACUUCUAGCUUCUCACUAUGCACAGUUAAAGAUAACAAGUUUGCAGCAUUUAAAAAUUUAACAUUUUUGGAUGCAGAGAAAGAAUAUUGGAACAAAACAAUACAAGGAAUACUGUUAUGAGUGGACAGGACUCAAGGAUGUGGAUGUAUGAAGAGUUGAAUCAUUCUGGGGCUCUUGUAGCAUAAUUCAGGUCUAAAGCGCCUCAGAGUAUACAACACCUUAAACAGGAUUAAUAAUAUUAACAACAUUAUUAAGGUAUUUUACUUGCUAGUUGUGCUAAGACAGACCAGAAGUGAGACUUGACUUUUGAAUUCCAUGGGCCAAAAGAUCUACAGGGUAAAGCUGAAUGGGCUCAGAAAAGUACGUCUACUAUAAAUGUUCAGCAGAAAACGUUUUCAUUUCUUUUCCUUUAUUUAUCACGGCUGGAAACACUGAGCUCCAUUUAGUCAUGCGGAAUGCUGCUCCAUGUGGCCACAACUUUUGCCACCUACAGUGGAUUCCAGUGGACAUGUAUGAGUAUCAGUGGGUGCUAAUUUUGCAAUUGUCUCAUUUAUCAUUGUUCUCCUAAACGACUGAUGAUGACCCAAGACAUUCAUUCCCUCUCUGCUUUCUCAUGUUUUGGUGCAAUAACUCCUUAAUUCCUGCAAUUCUCCGUAACUGACUAAGGCACAGGAAACUAAGAAAACAGUGCUACUUCUUGUCCCAAAAAUUUUCACUCUUUCGCUGAAUUGUUAUUUGUAAAAAAAUACAAAACAAAAUAAAACAAAACAAAAACAAAAAAAACCACCACAAUUACAAUAAUAGCAAAAGCAUUUUGAUCUAAAGCAUUAAUACAAAAUCCUUUUGGACCAGGAAACUUCAGCAUAGCAUUUGACCAAUGUGUGAGCUUAGUCAGUUUUGAGAUGACAAGCAUCAUAGUCACAAAUCACUUCAGAAAAGAGCCACCAAUCAUAGAUAUAGUUAUUGUGAUCCACCAUCUUGAAUUAUAGCUUUUGUCCUUAAAAACCCAUCUUCACAUUUUGCUUUUAUCUCUCACAGGUGACAGUCACUAUGGGCCUAGGAGAAGCAGCAGCUUUCAGUUCUAUAGCCCUGGAGAGCUUUGAGUGAAAGUUACUUUUUAAAAUGGCACCACUGAUGCAGAGAUAAUCAACAUACAACCAUGCACUCCAGCUGCUGAAUAUAUCCAACUAUAGGUUUAUACUUACAGUACUUCUUUUUAACUUCUGCACAAAUGCUCAUCUUCUAGGCAGCUUUGUAACCCUACAUAUCUUCAGAAAUAGUCUGGAUGUAGUCUAUAAGUCAGCCUGGAGUCUCUCAAAAGUUUUCAUUUUAUCCCUGAAAGGGCAUCCCCAAACACUUUCUGGCUAAAUUCUACCAGUUUUACUCACAUUGAAGAAUACCUUACUGUGCAAUUAUUAUUUAUUAUUUCUAAAUUUAAAAACACAGCUACAGGAGCUCAUCCAGUUCUCUGGGCACUUAUUCCCUAAAAUUAAAAAUCUCAUUAUAAACACAAGGACUGCCCCAGACAUACUUGUCUCACUCAGUCCAUCCCCUCUUCAACAGCUUGAACAAAGAGAAGGAAAAGAUGGGUUUUGCAGCAUGCCUGGAAGGUUAACAAAUAUGGGUUCUGGUAGCUCCCUUCCAGAGAACUCCCUGCCAGCAGCUCCCCCUCUUUUACAGUGAGAGAACUCCAGCUUUAGCACCUCUGCUGUUUUCAACUAUGGUAUUGUAUCAUGGGGGAGAGAAAUGACUUCCCAGGUAAUUAGCUCCCAAACCAUUUAAGACUUUAUAGGUUAAAACUGACCCACUGAAUUCCACCCUGAAGCUUAUUGGUAGUAGUUCCACUGAAAUAAAUGGGAAUUCUCAAAGAGCAUGGUACAAUUCAACUUUAGUGAGGGUGGCAGAAUCUGACCAUAAUCGUCUUGUGGCUCCAUCUAUGUGAUACAAAUGUUUUCUUAACUAUUUUGGGAACAAAGUUAAAGGUUGGGGAGGCUUUAAAAUACACUCCACACACCCAUUUCUUAGAUUUUGGUUUCAUUUACAAAGAAACUAAUCACAAAUUCCAGCUCAAACCUUCUCCCCAGGCUUGGUUCCUUUUAGCAUUCUCCCCAAGGGCCUAGAACCUAGAUUUUAUAUGCUCAGAAAGUCACUUCCAUCUCCCUUAUAGCCAAAGUGAAGUUAAUGAGUCCUGCCUAGUGCAAUGAGUCAGCAGGAAUCCAUCAGCAGUUCCCUACAGGCUUCCAACACCUGCUAACAAGGUAGAUCAACAGUAGAGCCCUGCCACUAUACUAUAUUCUGCAGACAAAUAUCCUGCAUGCAACAUCAACACAUUUUGAUUACUAUCAAUAACUGGAUGAAAGUCAUCCUUCUCUGUUGCAACGUAAGUCAUAAGGGCAUUAAGAGGGGUAAGGAAGCACAACGCAUGUCGCUGCAUGUACCUCUUCUUCAUUUAUUUCUUCCAACUGUGCCACAGUAUUGCUGAGCAAUUCUGAAACCAAACAAUAUUAAUUCUAUCUACACUAAUAAUUUAUGCUGGACAUUGUGUUCAUUUGCAAAGAUACUGAUCUUGACACACGAUAGUUUCACAAUGGUUUCCACUGUCAUACACCAUUCUGAAUUUUCCUUUACAUUAGGUUAUUUUCCAAAUACCCCAAUACUUAAUUCUUUCAGGGCAUUAUAAGAGGUAACACAGGAAAAAAAGAGAGCUAUAGCACCAGUUUUUCAACUGAUGUACUCCUGACUUGUUCUAACAAAUAGCUGUACAUCAGCACUAAAUCAUCUACAACAUAUAGUUGUUUACUUAUCAAAUUAUUAGGAUACAUAGGUGCUCAUACCACCUGAAUAUAACCAGAGCGUGGGCAUAACAUGCUUUAUUGAAAGAACAAAAUUCUGUAAUAUUCAUCAUUUUUAAUUCUCUGUGGUUAUAAAGAUACCAUGUGGAGCCCCCACACCACUCCAAACAAAAGAUAUGCACUUGCUGGGGUUUUGUUAUAUUAACAAAAAAAAAGAUCAUUUCAAAAUAACUACAUAAACCCCAGCCAGAGCUUCGAGGGCUCUGUCCCUCAGGACUUGACUGUUCCAGACGCUAACUCUUACUGUCAGAGGGCUACCACCACAUCUCUAGCAGGGUAAACGAGCAACAUCUGCCCCAGUGAGACAGCAAUCAUUUACCUGCAGCUCCCUGCAGAAUUCCAGCAUCAAGUAACAGGGUAGGACAAGAAGAAACUCCUUACACAAUCUUACACACCAAUUAAAAAAAAAAAAAGGUGGUGAGAGCAAGAAUCUCUGGUGUGCAUUUUAAAACUAUCCAAGCAAAGGAUGUUACUUUCCACCACUGCCCUUGGAUUAGUGUACAGUCUUUUUUAAUUUUUUUAGGAAAUAGAACUGACUGAAUCCUCCCUUUUCCAUAGCUGGACAAGUACAACUGUUCUAUCUGGUCUAACCUUUUCUUCAGUGUCCAAUCAGAAAGUUGCAUUUAGCAAACUAAUUCAACUCAGAAGUUUGUGUAUAGACAUUCUUUGAAAGACUCUAAAAUUGUUGACCUUCAGGGCACAAUGCAAAGCCUAUCCAUUUUCCCAGGUGUUUGGCCAGGAGGAUGGCAAGAGAAAUUGGGUUCUACGGCAUGAUGGGGUACUCAUCUGCACUGUUGAUUUGACUCACUUAUUUUUAUUAUGGGGUUGAGCUUUCUGUAUUUUUAUAUAUUUUAAGUUUGUUAUUAUUGUGAUCUUUAUAAUUGACUUCAGGGUGCCUCAAACUGUUAGGGAGAAACAUUCUUAUUUGCAAUUAAGAGAAACAGAUAAAAAUAAAUAGUGUCAACCAGGAACCUUUUGUGAAUGAAGCUCACUUGAUUUGGCUGUAUUAAGUAUAGUAUGUCAGACAUAAACUGACUAGACAGUAACUUCAGGAAGGAGUAUCUUGCCAAGAGAAUGCCAAUUCUUUCCCCAAGGAUUGCACCCUUAAGGCUGCAGCAGAUGACUCCUUGGAGCACUCUUCAUAGAAUCAUAGAAUAUCAGGGUUGGAAGGUCAUCUAGUCCAACCCUCUGCUCAAAGCAGGACCAAUCCCCAAUUAAAUCAUCCACAAACACUACAUCCUUUGGUACGAACAGAUCCAGUGGUAGUACUUGGAGAAGGUGUUGCCAGAGCUCAGAUGGCUGCCUAGCUGAAUUCAAUCAGGAAGGCUUCUCCUCUCUCAACCUCAGAAGUGGCCACGACUCUAAGGAAAUUAGCCUUAAAUUUGAUUGGGCAAGGAAGGAUUGCCAAGAUGCAAGAUGAGCCAAAUGCAGGAAAAGGAGGAUUGCAGUCCAAUGAUGCAAGCUCCUUCACUGACUGGGGAGAAGCAACGGCUACUACCUGCUAAUGAGUCUUCUGAUAAGGGAAAACUCUACUCCAUUGCACUCGGGUACAGCAGGACUAACUCCACUCAUUUCAAUGGGCCUAGAUACAACAGAGAAAAAAUUCAUCCUUAAAAUCUUUGAACAGGUGUCACAAAGUAGGAUGUGCAGGGCUGACACAUCAGUAUGCUUGUUUUGAAUUUUUCUUGUACCAAAAAGUUGUUAGGACCAUAUGAUCUGACCAUAUGAUCUGAGGUAGGCCUGAACCUGAUCUGACUUUUCAAGAAUCAAAUAGUAUUUUGACCCCCCCAAAAAUAGCUUUGUUCCUACAAUGCUAUGAUUCAGGAAUAUUUGCCUGCAAAUAGUGUGUCUGUAUAUUUGUGUGUCAGCUAACAGCCUUGGGAGGUAAGAGCAAACCUUGGAGCGGGUGUUUGAUUUAGACUGUGAGAGAGAGCAAAAGACAUUGUAUAUGUUUGGGAAUAGUGCUAACAAAAGAAAGAGUAAAGCAAAAAUACCAGCAGUACUUACAUUUUGGGCACUUUCAAACUAUCCAGGAUGAUUUUUUUGGAAUUAAUUUAGAGGAAGAAGAUUUUAAACCACAGUUUACACAAAAAAUUGCAAUCCUACUUGGCCGAGGAAAUCUGGUAUUUAACUAUACAGAUUCUCUAAUCUGUCAAUCUUCAUUUCUUAGAUUCAUGAUCUAGAAACAUAUGUCUAUCAUUCUUAUUUCCAGACCCAUUCACUUACUGGAGGGAUAAAAAUAGCAGGAAGUGAUAUCUACUGGUCCUAAGUGAAGCCUGUCUGAUUUAUAACGUCUAUCCAGCAGAGAGUGAUGCCAAAAAUUGCCUCUCUGACCCCUUCCCCACCCCACUGUCUAGUCACACAAUGAACAAAAAGAAUAGUCCUAUGGUUGUCAGUAGUUAGUUGCGGGUGUUAAAUUUUAUAUUAAUAGUUGCUGGGAAAUCAAAGACAUGCCAACAAUUAAGGAUUCAAAUAGCAUAAACAUAUAGCAUAAAUUGCAGCUUACAAAAGGAAGACAGAAGAUGGAAUUUGAUGCCUAGAAUUCCAUCAGGUAACCAAUCUUCUUUCUUUCCUCAUCCGCCUAUGCCCCUACCUGGUCAUGAUGUAUGGGCUGCCAAGCUAAAUUUGAGAGAGCAGCAUUGUGGAAAAGUGUGGUGAGUACUGAAGACUGCAGUUCCUGCAAGAAAAUCCAGCCCAUGAUUUUCUUACAGCCUUAAUUAUAUGUUUAUUCUUUGUACCAAAAAUUUGUACCACUUUUCCUUUUUUGAAAAGUAUACUUGAAUUUAUAUAUCAAUUUAUAUAUCAAAAAUGUCUAAACAGUGUGGGUGGGUGGGUGGGUGCAGGGGGGACAGAGAAAGAGAAGAUAAUCCAACCUGGAACUAUAUUCCCUUUAGGUGGAGGACAGAAUGUAAGGUUCAAGGCAGGGGAACAUGUGCUUGAGGCAUUUACUUGCCCACACACCCACACAGAAUAGGAAGAUCCACGCAGUGAGGGUCUUCUGCAUAUGGCUCUAGAGAGAAUUAUUUCUCCCUCUCAAUGUUUUUAGCCCUUCAAAAAAGUCAAGAACCCAGUGUAAACUGACACUGUGCUGUCUUCCUGAGUCUGCAGACAGAAGCCUCCAGUAUUUCUUCCCCCUGUUUUUUUGUGUGCUUGUUUUUUGCCUGAGCAUCAGCAGCACAGUGAAAUUAAUAGACUCUGGACCAAGGUUGGCAAUUUUCUGGGAAAAAUUAGUUUAGGACAGGCUGCUGGUAAAUACUGGAUUAAACCCAUUUUAAAUCAGGAAACUGGUGGAAAUAAUUGCAUCAAUAUCCAGCAAGUUCAGCAAGCAUAGAAUGAAUCUUUUCAAACUUUGGAUACAUCCAUUCAAAACUGGCAAAUCGACUCAGUUUAUCUACUACUUCAAAGUUGAUCUUCUGCUACGGAAUGCUGCAUGGCCAAAUGGAGUGGUAGUCUGCAACUCCGCACGCUUCAAGCCUACAACUCUGCAUUACUGAUGUUUUCAUAUGAUGGAAUGCAUUUGACAUUUAUUUAUAUACUACUGAAAACUGAAACAUAAGUCAUGACGUACAAUUUUCUUGAGAAAAUACGAAACCAAAAUGCACACAGAAAUUCCAAUGUUCAAUAUUAUAAUUACAUACAUUAGUAUUGCACUCACUGCAGUUUUACUUUAUUUGCACAACCCUAAAUUAAUCUAUAAAUCAACUGCCUUAUAUAACUACAGUCUGAAUAUGUACCUAAAACUAAGUAUAAUGUGGUGUGCAUUAAUUAUCCAGUUUUUAAAAUAGAAAAUGCCUUAAACUGCAACUAGUUUUUCCCAAAGCAAUAAAAAACAUGAUUUUACCUGGCAAAAGCUACCGCGGGUAACUACUAUGCCAUCCCAGCUCUGGAGAGGCUAUCCACUUAUGACAGCCUCUUCACUUAAGGCAGCCUCUCGCCCAUGUGGCACGGUUUACAAGAAAUAGAUUGCCUUGCACUUGCUGAGUUAUUGCCAGAUAGUUUUCCAGAUAUGAUAAUAAAGUUUUGGCCUAGUUAAACCACUUUCCUGGUACCUAGUCUUGCCCACAGCAAUGUCAGAAUUCAGGUUUCCUUUGCACACUUAAUUCAGUCUCUUUGUGCCUGUGUAUUAUGAUACAGCCUUUAAUUACAUGACCACAUACUAUUUUUCCACGGAAACUCCUGCCUCUUCAGAUCUGAAGCAGAACUAAAACCCUAUUAAGGCUGUUUAUGGGGACUUAACAGGACUACAUAGUCGCAACAAAAAUCAGCAGACUGGCUAAUCCCAUAUCAUUGCACCAAGAGAGUCUGGAUAAAGUAAGAGAAACACUAAGGUAAAAUGCUUCAAAAUACAGAUUGAGCCCACAUUCUGUCUGGUAACCAGGAUUUAAUAAGUAAUUGCAAGAUCUGGUGGAAACUUGUGACAAGAGUGCCAGAGAAAGGCUUAAUAAUGUGACAUAGGUCGUUAAUCCUAUCAGCCCCGCCAAAUCACUCUCAGCACAAAAUAGUAACAUAUAUGCACCAGUUAGCAGAUACAGUUUAUUGCUGAAAUCUAACUGGCAAUUUAUUUCAAAAAGUAUAUAACUACUGUAUAUUAUUGGUAAAAAUGAGCUAUUGGAGUAAAAUAUUCAAAAAUGGCUAAGUUACUUUCAAUGGGAUUUAAGAUCCUAAGUGAGUUUAGUACUUUUAAAAAUUUCACUCUCAAUUCAAUGUAAUUGUCACUUUUUUUGACCAAUGGGUAUCUUGCCAGAUAAUUUUUAAAAAUUGUUUUUGUUGUUGAGCACCAAUCGUCCUCAGCUACAAGUUGCCUAGCUGCUAUAUUUGGACUCAAACAGAAGGAAAAACCAGAAAAAAUAACUUUACGAAAGCAAAACUAAUUUUAUUGCUACUGAUUUUUAAGCCAGAUUCUGCAGCCGUUAUUCACACUGAGUAACACAAGUUGUGCCAGUGUAAGUAGUGAUUACUUGUACUGAAUAUUAACUUUCUCAAGUUUUUCAGCUGUUUUAUGCAACUAAAAUAAAAGCUAAUUUUUGUACUGGCACUAUGGUUCAUUCUCCCCAGUGAAGUUUGAAAGGCCAUUUGAAUACUGUGCUAUUUGACUUGGGGGUGGGAGUGAUGAAAUCCCAUAUAGUCUCUGCUUCACUUUAUUGGGCUCAUGUAGAUCCUGAAUAUGGAAACGAGAAUCGCUUUUGAUGUCAACAGCAAUAUAAUAUUUGAAGAGUACCGCACACGUCAUGUGGGAUAGCGACCACAGCACUAUCAAACACAGAACAAAUAAGGGGAAUUAUUCAUCCUACCGGUACGUCCAUUGACUUGAUUUGGCUAGUUAACUUUUAUAGUACUACUGAAAUGUUAUGAAAUUAACGUUCAAUAACAAGAAAAAUAAUGAAAAUAUAUUUCAAUAAUUUAGAUGACAGGCAUCCUUUAAAGUCAGGUUAUUCCAACUGCCAUUUUUUUUGUUUCUUCUCCUGUCCCUUCAGUUCUGAAAAGAGUUUAGCACCCGAUAUCUCUAGGAUUCCUGGCUUUUCAAGGAGAAUGUGCAUUUGUUUCUAGCCUUGGUAGUUUACAGGACACCAGGCAUAAAACCUGUCAUUGUUCAAUUGGACUAGUGGUGCUUUUGUGAAACUGAUCCAGGUCUCAAUACACUAACUCCCAGAUCUUGGACCAAUACAAUUUUUUAUCCCGGAGGAUGAAAAGGAAGAGGUUUUAUAAAGCAUGAAUUGUAAAAUGUGGCUCUCCAUCCACAUCUGAUACACAAUUUGAUGUCUGAAAUAAUGUACUGUAUCUUGGCAGAAAGUGAAUAGUGGUUUUUGAAAAUGACAGAGAGAAAAACAAAUACAAUUGUCAAUGAAAAUAUUUUCUGUGUACACUGAGAAUUCUUCUUUUCUCCUGUUAGGAUAGAGGCCAAUUACAGUAACAGUGCAAGAAUCCCCACCUCUCCAGAGGAAAAGGGUUAAGAAGGAGAUAUUCACUAUUGGAGAAAUACAUGCAGAGAGAACCUGAACCAACAGUGCAGUCCCAUGAUUAUUGAUUUUACUAACUAUAAAAUCUAGUAAUAGAUUGUAAUUAAUGUUGGAGUAGACAUUCAAAGGCACAAAUAGCACUUAUGUCUGUAACUCCUAUUAAGUUCAAUGGCCCUUACAGGCAGUGUCUUUGAAAACCUACUCCAUUAUUAAUAAUAAGUACAUAGAUAGCACAAAAAACAUACCCUAUUCUUUAUGAAACGCAGAAUAAAACAUGCAUCCUGCAGGCACAGUGACAGCCAUGAUAUAUUUUUACAACUAAUGCAGGUAUAACAAUAUACAUGGGACAACAGUCCAAAUACUGGAUUAACAGGCAUGCAGAAACAAUGUAUGUCUUGUUUUAUAAGAUUAGGACAGCAAAUAUUGCAUCUGUAAAAUUGUCUCAGGAUAGUUUGUAUUAUCAAGGAAAGUAUGUUAGCAUAAUAGAUUUCAGGAAGAAAAAUGAAAAAAAUUCAUAAUUCACCUCAGCUUUAGAGAUGGCUUUAUAAGACAUCAACAUAUAGAUUCAAUAGUGAUCAACAUUCUCUGCCUCGAGUAUUCUGCACCUCAUAAAUCCAGGGGGAAAAAACCCUUGUGUUUAAACACUUUGACCAAGACUUUAAAAAACAGGUGCCUAAAAUUCAGCUGCUACGUGCUUACUUGUUGGCAUGAAUAAAUGCCCAAUUUUCAAAUGAGAUGAAAAUUCAGCAACUCCCAUUACAAUGGAAUCAUCCGACACUGACUCUAAUAAGGAGGAAACUUUACAAAGUAAGGGCCUGAUCCAAAGCCCACUGAAGUCUAUAGGAAUCUUUCCAUUGACUUCAGUAGGCUUUGGUCCAGGCCCUAAGAAAGAAGCUACCUUCCUGACUUCAGUGAUGUGUCUAACAUAUCCUAACAUGACUGUUGUCUUACUUUUAGGGCAUGGAUCAUGCUGCAGGGGAUUUAUCAGGCCUGUACACCCCUUUGUGGGAUUAUUGCAGAAUGGCGUUUGGAGUUUAUAGGCCUUCGUACGAGAUUGAAGCCUGUUCUGUCAUUUGUUCCCCCACUGAAGGAUUUCCCAAAGUAGAAAGGGACAAAGGUCUUCACUGAAGACAAUUUUCCCUCUUUGACAUUCACUCUUUUGCUUUUUCUACACACAGAAGUUGCAUCAGUUUAAAACACUUUUUCAACCAAUUUAGUUAAGCAAAUGGGAAAACCCUAUAUAGACACUCUUACUUGGAUUUAAGAGUGCCUUACUUCGAUUUACGUUAAACCUGGUUCUAAUCAACUUAAGUUAAUUUGAUAAAUUCUGUCAAUUAAUGUGACCAUACAACCUUUUGCACAAGUUUAAAUAAAUCAAUUUUGAUAAUUGGUGCAACUCUGCGUGUACAUAAAUUCUUUAUCCAGCUGCUAAAAGAGAAAUCUGAAUCUGCAAAUGAGUCUCCACCCCAGACAGAAUCACAAAAUUAUACAAGACCCCAUCUUGAAUACCUUAUUUAGGCACACUCAGUCCUCCAAACGGGAAUUUCCUUGAGUACAGUUGAAUGAAAUCAGAACCAACACUGAAUGAGAACCUUAAUAUGACAUGCAGAAAGUAGGAAGUAUUUCUGUUUACUUCUCUAACUGACUACCAAAAAGCUAGCCUACCAAUUAGCAGUAAAUCACAACAAACCUCUCCAAGGGAACUCAUCCCCAACCUCCUCUGGACCACAUACUCUCCAGAAACCAGAGCAGCAGAUUGGAUAUCUGUCAGGUAUCCGGCAGAAUUUAAGGUGUUGGUUUUGACCUAUAAAUCCUAAACAGAAAUGAGGCCAAAUCUCUCUCUAUGCCAUUUUGCCACACGUGUGGUCAGUGGAGGCACCUGACCUGAAACUUGACUGAUAUAAAAGAGAGAAUGUAGCUGGCAGGGCAUUCCCCAUGAAGUCCCCUCAGAUUUUGAACUCACUCCCCUACUGAUCUGAAAUAAUCCAAGUUUAUUCACUUCCAGGGCAUGCACAGUGCAUGAGCCAUUUGUUUUUCCUAUCAACACGAAGGCUUUGGGAGAAGAUUUGUAACAUGUUUUGGCUAGUAGGUUAUUGUUGGCUGUGGUGGAUAUGCUGAUUAGUGGUUGAAGGAGAAUUACAAGAUUAACUAUAAGAAAAGGAGUACUUGUGGCACCUUAGAGACUAACCAAUUUAUUU